UGGUUCCAUACAAGUAACUAAGAAGCGCUGUGCAUGAUUCUGUUGACAUGUCUUCUAUGUCGAUUAUAGAGGACUCUUUCUCCCUGAGAUCGUGAAGGAACAUGCUGUGGAAUACAGGAGAAGUAGCAGACAGUAUCGCUCUGUGAGCUUGCACUGAUCCAUCAGCCGUAUUAAUGGUAACAUCAGUAUGGAUGGACUCAUCAAGCAUGCGAGAGAGGCAUCGGAGAGUACUUUGGGUAGCUAAAGAUUGCAAAAUCAUGUCAUUGGGCCAUAUAGAUUUUCCUUCUCCACCAUUUGGGGUGUAGAUCUUCAGGUCAAGGAACUCAACAUCAAUGACAAAUCGACCUUGUAAACAAGAAUCAAUAGGCCACACAAAGUCAUCACUUGUUCGAAGCAGCCUCUCAUAUACAGGAGAUAUAUGAGGUCUCCGAUUGGUUCCAGUUGUAGUAACACGAAGCAUAAAGCGAGCAAAAGGAGGAGGAAGCUGCUCUUUCGAAAGCCGAGAAGGUUCAGGAAACAAUCGAAUAUACAAAUACCGAUUCUUCUCAAUUGACAGAUGCCAGUUCCAUAUACCAAUUUUAAAAGGGUCAGAUCUUUUGUAAGUAGAGACUCUAUCAAGGUUAGCUCAAUGGAGGAUCGACAAUUUCACAGCAUCUACUUA
rnacentral:misc_RNA from 1 species